GGAUGGAAAGUUGAGGUUAUGAAGAUUUAAUUGUAUGUUUUUACUUAAAAGACCUGCUUUAUUAACUGGCCAGGGCUUAGACUAAGGUCUGGCCCUAGUUAAUAAAGGAAACACUCUACAUUUCUGAAACUUACAAAGAUAAAAGGAGGGGGAAAAAGCCUUGAACCCAGAUUCUAUGAUGUAGUACUAAAAUACAAGGGGAAAACACCAGUCAUUUUAGUAGGAAAAGGAAAAUGAACUCUGCUUGGAUUAUACUCAAAGAUAAACCAUACUAGGAUUCUCCUUCUGAUUUCUUAGAGUAGUAUUACUUUAUUUUAUUUUUUUGUUUUAUUUUUCAGGAAGUUUCUAAUUUUGAGAAUGCAAAACCAAAAAGAAAGUCAAUCCGGAGAUCUAUGUCUGAAAGCAAAGGAUUUGAAAGGAAAAUGGUGAAUGACACAAUCUGGCAAGAACCCACCAAGCCAGAGAAUGAUUCCCACAUCAGAAGGCUCUGUCAGCGAAAAGGUAAUUGCUAA
rnacentral:lncRNA from 1 species